GCACAGGAUGCAAUCGCACGAUCCUGCCCGUGAGCAAUCUCCCAACUCAUCUCUGUUAGAGUUGCAUCUCAUCACAGCAAAAGUUAGCACAGAUAAAACUGGCAAUGCAAGGGGUGCAAGAGUUACACAAUUUGCAGCACAGGGUUUCUGAUGGUGUACACAUUUUUUAAUUUCAUAUGCGGGGUAAAUAAAUCGUAAGGAAUGGCCUAGGGACUAUUAGUCAUUUCAUUCCCAAUGCUGAUUUUAAUCGGCAUCCAUGCAAGGGCAUCUAAAUCUGAGUUCGACACAAUCGACAUAAAUGAAUUAAGGUGUUGAUCUGGCGGAUAUGGAAAGUACACUUGCACACAUGCUGGAACAAAAGGGGUGAUAAUAUUAAAGAAACCUUGAAAAAUAUAUUCUUGCGAUAAUGCUUAA